ACAAACUUGGUCAUUUAGAGGAAGUAAAAGUCGUAACAAGGUUUCCGUAGGUGAACCUGCGGAAGGAUCAUUAUUGAAUUAAAAUUGAAUAGGUUGUUGCUGGCUUCUAGGAGCAUGUGCACAUCUAUUUCAAAUUUUCAACCACAUGUGCACCUUGUGUAGCUCUGAAGAACCUUUCGAGACAGCUCGGUUUUUAGAAUCGCUGUGUACAAAAGCCAGCUUUUCUUGUGUUUUCAGGUCUACAUAUUUUAUAUACUCCAAUAAAAGAUCAGAAUGUUUCAAAUAGGCUAUUUUGCCUGUAACAAUAAAUAUACAACUUUCAACAACGGAUCUCUUGGCUCUCGCAUCGAUGAAGAACGCAGC
rnacentral:misc_RNA from 1 species